AUACGGAGGGUGCAAGCGUUACUCGGAAUUACUGGGCGUAAAGCGCACGUAGGCGGCUUGUUAAGUCAGAUGUGAAAGCCCCGGGCUCAACCUGGGAACUGCAUUUGAUACUGGCAGGCUAGAGUAUGGUAGAGGCAAGUGGAAUUCCGGGUGUAGCGGUGAAAUGCGUAGAUAUCCGGGGGAACACCAGUGGCGAAGGCGACUUGCUGGACCAAUACUGACGCUGAGGUGCGAAAGCGUGGGGAGCAAACAGGAUUAGAAACCCGUGUAGUCC
rnacentral:rRNA from 1 species